UACGGGGGGGGCAAGCGUUGUUCGGAAUUACUGGGCGUAAAGGGCUCGUAGGCGGCCAACUAAGUCCGACGUGAAAUCCCAAGGCUUAACCUUGGAACUGCGUCGGAUACUGGAUGGCUUGAGCCACUUAGGGGCGACCGGAACAAAUGGUGGAGCGGUGAAAUGCGCAGAUAUCAUUUGGAACGCCAAUGGUGAAAACAGGUCGCUGGGAGUGUGCUGACGCUGAGACACGAAAGCCAGGGGAGCAAACGGG
rnacentral:rRNA from 1 species